CGGGGCGCUGCGGGGAAGGGGCUGUCUGGAAAGAAUGUACUGACAUAAAUCUCCGCAGCGUGAGAUAAAGCAUCGGGCGUGUUUUAGUGCUUCGUAGGAAGAUAAUUUCCUUGCGGUUUCUCGCAAGAGGUGUCAGGGGCAUCGCUUGCUGGACGGGAUUCCAGAAGGCAGUGUGGCUGUAUAGGGGCUCGGCUUUGUUUUCUGCCCCGCCGACUACAGCUCCUGUGCGAGCGCCGGCAGCUCUGGUUUUACAGUGAAGGAACAAAAAGCCCUGAUUCUUUAUACCAAAGGAAAGAAAAUGCACCGAAUGGCUUUUUUCUUUUUUUUUUUUUUUUUCCAUAUUCAGGUAGCUUUGGGUGUUCUGGCAAUGCCCAUGAAGAUCAAGGAGCAGAAUAAAAUCUGUGAUGUGACAGCAGCCCAGGUGGAGAUCUGCAUGCUCCCUUGGCAGAUGAUGUUUGUAGAGAAGUGCGUGGAAGUGGAUGCUUGGCUGUGUCCUGGUAUUGGUGACACAGGAUAAGCUACAUUGGCUGCAUUACUUCAAGAUUAGGAAGGAGACCUUUGGGUAUAGGCUGUGCGUAGAGAACCAUUUUGCUAUUACUCACUACGCAGGUAAAAUUGUUUUUCCUGGGGAAAAGAGGUGGUUGCACUGGGAAAACUGGCUGCUUGGAGUAGUACAAUUAGCAGCGCUGGUGUGCCUGGGUUUUCAAAUGCUGAGAAGCACCAGGAAUAAACUUAUCACUGUGCUGUACCCACGUGAUGUGUAUAAUCAGCUGUGAAUUAUUUAUUUCUAUUUUAACUGCAGCUAGUCAGCAUUUCUAGACCAUAGCGAGACGCUGGUCUGGGUAGGCACAAAUCCCUCAGACUGAGCAGAAGCGGAGCACACGGAUGGCAUUUCAGUGUCAGUUCCCAGAUAUCGUGCAGCACUACAAAAUAUUCCAGCAGUGGCAGGAGCACUGGAAAUGCUACUUAAUGAUCACACAGCAGGAGCAGCCCCUCUGCUGAUAAACGCUUCUCUGGGCUGGACAGUGUGGAAACAGCGUUAAAAGAAACCAGGCCCACUUGUCCUGCCAAACAGGUUGUUGCCAUGCACAGUCGAACUGCAGCAGCUUUAGUGCAACAACAGGGUUUAGGAGAAAAAUCAUAGCGUAGCCAUGAAAUGAGCUGUCGGAGAGAACCAGCAGGACAGUAUGUGUAUGGAGAUUGUACUGCUGGUGACAAAGCGUAAGCCCUGGCCUUGGAAAAAAUUAGUGUGCAGAGAGCUGCAGCAUAACAUUACAGUGUGCCAACUAGUUUACUGUGGGAAAUGUGUGCUGCUUCACUUUUAAUCUCUAUUCUUUUCAUAGGGGUAUUGGAAAAGGAAGUAAAACAGCUGCUGUAAAGCCUAGCAAGUGACGUGAUUCUUGUGAAUAGUUGUGAAAAAAAAUGUAGAGCUAUUUAUGAAUGGAAAGCAUUAUACAAAUAAAAUGUAAACAGUUGGUAUGUUUGAGCUACCUUCGAGGCAUCUUCAGUUUCAAAGUAUUGCAUAAAGUUACUUGAAACCAUUAGGUGAAAUUUGUCUCCUCUAUUCUUUCUGAGAUUUCUGCAUAGUGAGAAGACAAAAUCAAAGUCCUCUUUGAGGAGUUUGCAGUCCAGCUCAGCUUUCUUAUAGGUAGUCCCACUGAAUGUGAUCUAACUCUAUAAACCAUCACAUAUUCAAUAAGAAAUAGUAGUGUGGGAGAAGCAAGAGAACAGAAGACAGAAACUGCUCUAUUUGUGAGUGAUAAGGAGAAGUGAUUUGUUAUUCCUUUCCUUACUGAACAGUGUAAAUGCUCUGUUCUCUUCUAAGGCGCUUAAGACACCUAAGCUACCGUAAGCCAUUACUGUGGUUAUUAGUUCAGCCCUCAAAGAGUAAUAUGUAUUUCACAGAACAAAUAAGAUAAAUGCCCUUUUACCAUAGAGCUUGCAAACUAUGUUUUGUCACAGGUGAGAGCAACAACUAGAAAAGAGGUCUAUACAGAAGAAAUGCAGAAAUAUGGGUAGGCUUCUGCAGUCCUCUCCGUUCUCUGAGACACCAGGAAGCACAGUGCCCGUGUGGUUACCUGCUGCGAGGGGAUCACGGCUGUGCAUUUUUGCUCUUUAAUCAUAUUGAUGCAUAUCUAUCCCUGGGGGAGCUGGUGGUUGUAAGUAACAGGAGUGUGCAGGAUCUCUGUAUUUCUGCUCGUGGGCCAUUGCAAUCUGUGCAAUGGAUGCCCAAGGUUCUGUUGCGUAGGGAAGGUUUGUGUGAAGGUAGGGUCGUGCUCUGCUGGCUGCCAGCCAGCUGCCCAUAUGGUUGCCAGAAUGCAGCAUUAAUUUUCUGAGGCAGCGUGUGUCCGAAAUACAGUGCCACACCAUAUAAAUCAGCACGCUAUUGGAAGUUAUAAAUUCACAGAUAAGAUGGAAUUGUUAAAGUAACCCUUACUGUGGCUUCUUGAGUGUACACAUGUUUUUAGAGCAGAAGCAUCAGAGCUGGAAUUCUGCAUAGUGUAAUGCAAAAGCUUACAGGAGAGCAGCAGGAACACUGCAAACCUGGGUCAUCAAACUGCAGUCCUUACGUGGAUGGCACACCCACUGAG
ensembl:lncRNA